rnacentral:tRNA from 1 species
GGCUCUGUAGUGAAGUUCAUAGUGGGUUGCAAGCUCAUUGAUGUGCACUAGCCGUGUACCAGGGCCU